rnacentral:rRNA from 1 species
UGGGGAAUAUUGCACAAUGGGCGAAAGCCUGAUGCAGCGACGCCGCGUGAGGGAUGACGGCCUUCGGGUUGUAAACCUCUUUCAGCAGGGAAGAAGCGAAAGUGACGGUACCUGCAGAAGAAGCGCCGGCUAACUACGUGCCAGCAGCCGCGGUAAUACGUAGGGCGCAAGCGUUGUCCGGAAUUAUUGGGCGUAAAGAGCUCGUAGGCGGUUAGUCGCGUCUGCUGUGAAAACUCGAGGCUCAACCUCGGGCUUGCAGUGGGUACGGGCUGACUAGAGUGCGGUAGGGGUGACUGGAAUUCCUGGUGUAGCGGUGGAAUGCGCAGAUAUCAGGAGGAACACCGAUGGCGAAGGCAGGUCACUGGGCCGCAACUGACGCUGAGGAGCGAAAGCAUGGGGAGCGAACAGGAUUAGAUACCCUGGUAGUCCAUGCCGUAAACGUUGGGCACUAGGUGUGGGGCCUUCCACUCGGAUUCCGUGCCGCAGCAAACGCAUUAAGUGCCCCGCCUGGGGAGUACGGCCGCAAGGCUAAAAACUC